AUCCCAAUGACACCGACAGCAUCCAUCCAUCCGCAGCUUUCCCUCCUGCCGCGGGGAUGGAUGAGGAGAUCCCGCUCCCACUGAACCGAUCCCGCUCACACCCACCCAUGGAUGGAUGUGGACUGGGCCAGGACGGUGCCGGCGCCGGAUCUGCACCCACCUGCGUCUCGGUGGGGCAGCACAAUGGAGCGCACGGCUGUGACGCUGCCCUCAUCGGGAUUCCACCACCACGCGCCUGCGCCAUGGAAGACGAGGAGGAGUGCCUACCUCCGUCGUACGGGACGCCGCCAUGGAAGGAGAUGGAGCUCCUCCCUUCUCCUCAACCACGCACACAUCAGGAGAUCGGCAAGGAUCGAGGGAGAGGAGGAGCUGCUCCGACCCACCCUACUGACGACCGACGCCGUGGAGGCUAUCACCAUGGUAAGCCGAGGUGCUGCGGGUGUUGAGGAAGACUAUGGUUCGGGUGAGACAGUGAAGAGAAGAUAGCGUGCAGAGGGGGAGGAUGUUGGUUCCAGCUGCUUAGAUUACUCAAGGCAGGAUUUGAUUCUGUACAAGGGGUUCAUCGUGCCAGGCUCCUCUUUUCUGAUGCUUCCAUGCAACGGUGGUGGCGAUGGUGGUGUUUGGCAUCGGCUACAAAAACACCCUGCCAUGUCAUGUCAAUCAAGUUAAUUAGAUGUUGCUCUUUUCAUGUUCUACUUCAUACAUACAUGCAUAUGUGAUGGCUCCCUGCCUCCCUGCCUGCUACAUCUCCGCUUGCAUAAAUCAAAGAGAAGAAAGAAACACCCAUCUUAAAAUAAUUAUAAUGAGCAGCACAUGCCUUUCAUUUUAUAGGAUGGUCAUUGUAUCAUGAUAACCGGAUCAUAUCUAUGCCACAUACAAAUCAUUGAGCAGUGUUCUUGAUGGCCUGUUACCUUGAAUAAUAAUGUUGCCAGGAGCAUUUUGUUGCACGUUUGUGACUUCUUGCUUGAAUCCCAAAGUCUCAGAUCAAUGUGGGGUUCAAUGUCUUCUUUCCAUUCUUAUUGUUUGUCUUAGAUCGUUCCCAGUUCACUGAA